rnacentral:hammerhead_ribozyme from 1 species
CUUUCCCUGAAGAGACGAAGUGAUCAAGAGAUUGAAGACGAGUGAACUAAUUUUUUUAUAAAAGUUCACCACGACUCCUCCUUCUCUCACAAGUCGAAACUCAGAGUCGGAAAG